rnacentral:lncRNA from 1 species
CAUCAACAAAGAAUUUUUAUUACAAAAGUAAUUCAAAAAAUCUAAAAAUUUAAUUGUACUUAAAAAGGAGGCAACAAGGCUAAGGAGGAGGAGGAGGAGGACGGCAUGUUCUUUCUCCUCUGCCUUUGUUCUUCACAUCUGCUCCUCCUUCCUCUUUCUUCUUCUUCUUUACUAAGAGGGGUCAUAUCUGCAUUUGAAGUGGGAAAAAAGCCAGCCAUCUCUAAAUAAGGGGCCUAGAUCAGGCGUGCCUUGGCUCACCUGGGUGUGCCUUGGCUCACCUGGGUGUGCCUUGGCUCACCUGGGUGUGCCUUUGAAUCAUCGCCUGGGGAGUGUCAAGGCGCUGACCUCUGAGCCUCGUGCGCUAGGCACACCUUUAAUAACUAGGAUCAAAAUAUGCUAUGAUAUAUUUCUUUUUACUUAGUUUUAGAACCUACAUUAUUGUUAAUUGAUUUUUGGAAUUUUCAAGAAAUCUUAUGAUUUGAUUCGAUUCUUAAUUCAUAAAACGAAUAUUUUGAUUCUUGAUUCAAAUCUUGAUUUCACAAUUAUGACUAUAACUAUUUGUGGAUUACUGGAUUUUCUUGUUAUCCAUUUCUAGCCAAUUCAUCAUUUAGUUUUGAAUAUCUUCUGCUACAAAAUUAGUUGUAGUUGGCAACUUGCCUAAUUAUAUCACCAGUCGACAAAGAGGAAAAAAAAGCUCAAUGUCAUCAAGAACUACUAAAACUACCAAGUCAUUAAUUAGAUUGUGCCACGUAACGAUGACUUGAUAGCAAGUAUCAACAAUAAGAUUCUAGCAAGAUAAUAUAGAUAAGAGUCCACGUGCGACAGAUAUAUACCAUUAAUCUAUGUAAGCAAUUUAGGCUAGAAAAAGGAUGCUAUUAGAAGCAUUAAAUGAA